GCUUUAACCAACCGCCAUGCUCUUUCAUUUUUGCAGUCAUCCAUUUCAUAUCCGGUGAAGAUUUGGCCAUCCAGGCAUUCUUCUUUUUGGAAUCUUGAAUUCACACUUCAUGAGCUUUCUCUAGGUUCCAUGAUCAAGCUUUUCUCCUACUUUAAGCAAUCAUUGUGCUCAUUUGAUUUUUCACUUCAUCCAUUUCAUCUCAAGGAAAAUCUGAUGGGGUGGUUGGUGUUGAAGAAGAUGAUUUAUCUUCAAGUUCAGAUUCUGUGGAUGACUUUUCAACAUAGGUUAUUAUCUUCUUUAAUCUAUUUGAUGGGGAUCAAGAAUUAAUUCUUUGGUGAUUUUAAUUAUGUAAUAUUUGCUUCUU